UAAAUAUACAUUUAUAUAUUAAUUUAAUUAGGUAAAUAAAUUUAAUUCUUAUUGAGGUUUACAUUAAUUUUAAUAAUUAGUAUACAAAUUGUUUAGAUAUUUUUAUGGUAGUUGAUGAAAUUGAACUAUGAAAUAAUUUUUGAUUUAGUAAUUGAGGUUUUAAUUGGAUAUAAUUGUGCCAGCUUCCGCGGUUAAACAAUUAAUUAGAAUGUAAGUUGGGAGGUGAAAGUUAGUGAUAAAUUACUGGUUAUGUAUCUUGAUUAUAUAAUAAUGUUUUAGGUGGAAUUUUAUUUUAUAUAAAUAAUUUAGAUUAAUAAUUUGAUUAGUUAAAAAAUUUCUAUAAUAGACUAGGAUUAGAUACCCUAUUAUUGGAAAUAGAGUUAUUUACCGAAGUAGUAAUGUUAAUGAAACUUAAAGAAUUUGGCGGUACACGAGUCCAUUUAGAGGAACCUGUUUCUGAAUCGAUAUUCCACGUUUAAAUUUACCUUAAUUUUAUUUAUAUAUCGUCAUCGGAAGAUUACUUUUUUGAAGUUGUGUUGUUUUCUUGAGUUUUUUUUAAGGAUGUUAGAUCAAGGUGUAGUAUAUUAAGGGGGGACAUGGGUUACUAUGGAAAUAUUUUAUUUGAUAAUAGUAUGAAAAUUUAUUGGAUAGAGGAUUUAAUGGUAAUGUAAAUGAGUUUAUUUAUGUGGUCAUUGGUUUUUGUGUAUGUACAUAUCGCCCGUCACUCUCGUUGAUUUAUGUAAAUGAGAAAAGUCGUAACAUAGUGGGUGUAUUGGAAAAUGUACCUGGAAUUUCA
rnacentral:ncRNA from 1 species